rnacentral:tRNA from 1 species
AGCGAGGUUCGUAUAGUGGUUAAUAUGUUCGCCUUCCAAGCCUAAGACGAGGGUUCGAUUCCCUUACCUCGCUCU